GAGAGGCAUCUCUUAAAUAUCAAAGGUGAGCCAGUACAGGAUGGACCCGCGUCUGAUUAGCUAGUUGGUAAGGUAACGGCUUACCAAGGCGACGAUCAGUAGCCGACCUGAGAGGGUGAUCGGCCACAUUGGAACUGAGACACGGUCCAAACUCCUACGGGAGGCAGCAGUGGGGAAUAUUGCACAAUGGGCGAAAGCCUGAUGCAGCAACGCCGCGUGAGUGAUGAAGGCCUUCGGGUCGUAAAACUCUGUCCUCAAGGAAGAUAAUGACGGUACUUGAGGAGGAAGCCCCGGCUAACUACGUGCCAGCAGCCGCGGUAAUACGUAGGGGGCUAGCGUUAUCCGGAUUUACUGGGCGUAAAGGGUGCGUAGGCGGUCUUUCAAGUCAGGAGUGAAAGGCUACGGCUCAACCGUAGUAAGCUCUUGAAACUGGGAGACUUGAGUGCAGGAGAGGAGAGUGGAAUUCCUAGUGUAGCGGUGAAAUGCGUAGAUAUUAGGAGGAACACCAGUUGCGAAGGCGGCUCUCUGGACUGUAACUGACGCUGAGGCACGAAAGCGUGGGGAGCAAACAGGAUUAGAUACCCUGGUAGUCCACGCUGUAAACGAUGAGUACUAGGUGUCGGGGGUUAC
rnacentral:rRNA from 1 species